UUGCUAUCUGCAAUUUAUAAGAUUCGAACCUGCAGCAGGUCGAGUCGAACGUAGUGAGACAACGGAGCCGUUUACGGCGACGGCCCGAAGGGCGAGCGAAGCGAGUCAUCCUGCACGACCCACCA
rnacentral:sRNA from 5 species